rnacentral:lncRNA from 1 species
GAUCCCUGCCCCCAGCCCAGGCAGCCGGGCAUGAGCUACUUGUCCUUAGGGGAGGCCUGCUACUGGGAGCCCGAGAAGGCAGGCACAGAAUCCUGGCAUUUGAGUUUCAAAACCACAAUAAGGAAGAAGACAGAAAUUGUUGGACAAGUCCUUGAUCGCUACUGCAGACUACAGAAAGACUCCAUGGGCUGAGGCUGGGAGGUGGGCACAGAGCUGCUGUCAUUGGAGUGAGCACUGUUGUCACCAGCAUCAGAGUCAAUUAUCUUCUUACCUUCCCAGAUGAUGGUUGCCUAACGUUGUCUCAAAGAACCUUGAAGGGUAAGAACCACGCAAAUGCCCCUCAUCACCACUUCAGUGCUUUGCACCAAGCAGACACUCAGCAAAUGCCUCAUUGGCUUGCACAGCUGUGACUGUUCAUGAUGCAGACUAGUGAACACCCAGACAAUGCCAG